UUAAGGAAAUGGAUUAGCAAAGCCCUAACUAGUUAAUUGAGUAUUAUUGUAGAAUUAUAUUAUAUUAUAAUUUAUUAUAUGCGAAUUAAUAUGAGAAAUGACAUGUUAAGACCCCGUUGGUGAGUUAGGGGCAUUUUAGUAAUUUUGACCCGAGAAGGGUAAAACUGUGAAUUUAAUUUAUUUAUGUGCUUAUGAACUAUAUUAUUAUAUAGUAUAUCUGGUGUGUCCUUUUUCAGGUGUGUUCUGACAAGUUGGCGCGGUAUAGUCACAAUCGGGUAUUUCGGGCUGAACCGGGUUCGGGGCCGAAAUAUAAUUUUGGGAUAAAUUAUUGGCAUUUUAUUUAUGUGUGAAUAAUCUGAAAUUAUUUAAAUAUGUGUUAUAUAUGAAAUGAAUUCAAUGCCCUUGAUUGUUUGAGUAUGUGAGAAAUGGCCCUAGGGGCAAAAUGGUAAAUUUGUAUUUUUGGAUUUAUUUUCAACUAAAGGCCUUAUUUGUAAAAAAAUGAAAUUCAUUUUCUGCAUUUACCUUAACCCUAAAGCAGCCCCCUUUCCUCUCUCUCUCUCUAUCUCUUUGUAUUUGGUUGAAAAAUUGGUGAUUUGCUUGGUAUACAAGCUUGAAAUUGAAGAAUUGUUUGAGGAGUUGUGGCUUGAUCAUUGCAUUGAAGCUUGAGGAAAGGGUAAAUCUAUCUCUGAUCAGCCAUGAGUAUGGGAGUUGGGCGAUGUAUGUACAUGUUCGGGCCACACUAGACCAAGCGGGUUGGGGUCUACCAGCGUUGAAACUUUUGUAACUCUAUUUUUGCCGCUUAGGUCGGCUAAGGAGAAAAGACUUGUAAUAUUUUGUAAAAUGAUUUUUUUUGGGAUCCCGAAACAUGUAACUUUUGUUUGUAAGGUUAAAAUUAUUACAAGUUUAUUUUCAUUC